GGGUCUGAUGCUAUUGCACCACAUGUGUUUUUCUUUGAAACAAACUUGCUUUGGCGGUGGGCCCAGCCUGCCGCCAGAGGUCUAAACUUACAACCAAUUUUUUAUUAACUUGUCACACCAGAUUAUUACUUAAUAGUCAAAACUUUCAACAACGGAUCUCUUGGUUCUCGCAUCGAUGAAGAACGCAGCGAAAUGCGAUACGUAAUAUGAAUUGCAGAUAUUCGUGAAUCAUCGAAUCUUUGAACGCACAUUGCGCCCUCUGGUAUUCCGGAGGGCAUGCCUGUUUGAGCGUCGUUUCUCCCUCAAACCGCUGGGUUUGGUGUUGAGCAAUACGACUUGGGUUUGCUUGAAAGACGGUAGUGGUAAGGCGGGAUCGCUUUGACAAUGGCUUAGGUCUAACCAAAAACAUUGCUUGCGGCGGUAACGUCCACCACGUAUAUCUUCAAACUUUGACCUCAAAUCAGGUAGGACUACCCGCUGAACUUAAGCAUAUCAAAAGGGGGGGAGGAA
rnacentral:rRNA from 1 species